UACAACUUUCAGCAACGGAUCUCUUGGCUCUCGCAUCGAUGAAGAACGCAGCGAAAUGCGAUAAGUAAUGUGAAUUGCAGAAUUCAGUGAAUCAUCGAAUCUUUGAACGCACCUUGCGCUCCUUGGUAUUCCGAGGAGC
rnacentral:rRNA from 1 species